AACGAACGCUGGCGGCAGGCCUAACACAUGCAAGUCGAGCGCCCCGCCAGGGGAGCGGCGGACGGGUGCGUAACGCGUGGGAAUAUGCCCUUUGCUACGGAAUAGUCUCGGGAAACUGGGGGUAAUACCGUAUACGCCCUUUGGGGGAAAGAUUUAUCGGCGAAGGAUUAGCCCGCGUUGGAUUAGGUAGUUGGUGGGGUAAUGGCCUACCAAGCCGACGAUCCAUAGCUGGUUUGAGAGGAUGAUCAGCCACACUGGGACUGAGACACGGCCCAGACUCCUACGGGAGGCAGCAGUGGGGAAUCUUAGACAAUGGGGGCAACCCUGAUCUAGCCAUGCCGCGUGAGUGAUGAAGGCCUUAGGGUUGUAAAGCUCUUUCAGCUGGGAAGAUAAUGACGUUACCAGCAGAAGAAGCCCCGGCUAACUCCGUG
rnacentral:rRNA from 1 species